GAUCUUCAGUCCAGGUGCCAUUCACCCACAAGCCUGCAAUUUCGUUCUUAAGCCUCCUUCCCUUGAUCACCUUGUGAAAGAAUCCACUGUUAACAUCCCCUUCUUUAAGCCAACGAAUCCUUGCCUUUUGAGAGAGAAGACUGUCCCUGUUUUUCAAGAGGGUGAUUAGCUUUGCUCCGGCUUUGUUUCUCUUACAAACUUCAUCGGCCUCCAAACCCAUUGUGUCAUCUAAAGCAUCCCACAAUUGUAUUUCCUCUUUCGUUUCUCUAAUAUUGGUCUCAAUCCUACCAAAAGUCGAGGCAUUCCACGUCUUGA
rnacentral:lncRNA from 1 species